GUUGUUAAGUGAUACUCGCAGUCUCGUUAACUGCAAUGUUGACCUCAAUGUCAGCUUGCCCACUGACUCUGCUUGUGGGAAGCCACCAGUGAAAGUCACAAAUGGCAAUCAUAUGACCAUGGGAUGGUGUGACCUUGUAAUUAUGAGUGUCUGGAUCGUGAUCAUGUGAUAGUGAAGAACUGUGACAGCUGCAAGUAUGAGAACCAGCUGUUUAGCCCUUUUUCAAGGUAGAAAAGGUAGAAUGUCAGAAUUGCCAUCCUGAGCUUUGCUUUGCUAAAUGUCAGUCUGCCAUAGACUAUGAGAGGAGGAAGCUGCUGGGGAAAUCGAAACUACCUGUCAUGCCUUCCCGAGACAUCUGCUCAUCGUCUCACCACCUAGCCUGCCGAUGCAGGGAACAUUACCAAAACAAUUCCUUUGAAUGGGACUGGACAAUAGGGAGAUAAUAAGGGGGAGGAAUGGGAAAGGGAAUGUUAACUAGGGAACCUUUGUGUGAAAACUUUUUACAGCUGCUUUACUAUAAUCCAUUUGGCUUUUAGUAAAAGUAUAUCUUUCACUA